AAGUCCUACGGGACGCAGCAGUGGGGAAUAUUGCACAAUGGGGGGAACCCUGAUGCAGCGACGCCGCGUGGGUGAAGGAGCACCUCGGUGCGUAAAGCCCUAUCGGCAGGGAAGAAAAGCGAACAGGUUCGCCUGGACGGUACCUGACUAGGAAGCCCCGGCUAACUAUGUGCCAGCAGCCGCGGUAAUACAUAGGGGGCAAGCGUUAUCCGGAAUUAUUGGGUGUAAAGGGUGCGUAGACGGAAGAACAAGUUGGUUGUGAAAUCCCUCUGCUCAACUGAGGGACUGCAAACAAAACUAUUCUC
rnacentral:rRNA from 1 species